rnacentral:rRNA from 1 species
CUAGCAGUGAGGAAGGUGGAGUAUGUUAAUAGCAUAUUCAUUUGACGUUAGCUGCAGAAGAAGCACCGGCUAACUCCGUGCCAGCAGCCGCGGUAAUACGGAGGGUGCGAGCGUUAAUCGGAAUUACUGGGCGUAAAGCGCAUGCAGGUGGUUUGUUAAGUCAGAUGUGAAAGCCCGGGGCUCAACCUCGGAAUUGCAUUUGAAACUGGCAAACUAGAGUACUGUAGAGGGGGUAGAAUUUCAGGUGUAGCGGUGAAAUGCGUAGAGAUCUGAAGGAAUACCGGUGGCGAAGGCGGCCCCCUGGACAGAUACUGACACUCAGAUGCGAAAGCGUGGGGAGCAAACAGGAUUAGAUACCCUGGUAG